ensembl:snoRNA
CUUCUCCCAGGAUCGUGUCUGGGGAGUGGUUAAUAUUCUGCCAUCUUCGGAAAUGGGAGAGAAAGCGAGCCUUGCAGAGGUACCCAUUCUACUCCCAGUUUGCUCAGCAGCUGGAGAUUGGAAGACAGUCUGCAACAAUG